rnacentral:rRNA from 1 species
AAUCUCGUGCCAGCCACCGCGGUUAUACGAGAAACUCAUAUUAAUAUCUGCGGCCCAAAGGGUAGUUUUAGAUAUAAUAAAAUAGAAUUUAAAAUUUAUUUAAUAGUCAUAUAUAAACAUGAAAUGUAAACCCAAAAACGAAAGUUAUACUAUAUAUUCUUGAAUCUACUACAGUUGAAAGACAAACUAGGAUUAGAUACCCCACUAUGUUCAACUUUAAAAUGGACCAUCCCGCCAGAGCACUACGAGCCAUAGCUUAAAACUCAAAGGACUUGGCGGUGCUCUACACCCACCUAGAGGAGCCUGUUCUAUAAUCGAUACUCCCCGAUAAACCUCACCACUUCUAGCUAAUACAGUCUAUAUACCACCGCCCUCAGUUUACCUCUUAAAAGAAUAAUAGUGAACAAAACAAUUUAAAAUAAAAAAGUCAGGUCAAGGUGCAGCAGAUGAAGUGGGAAGAAAUGGGCUACAUUUUUUAUUAUAAAAAACACGGAAUAUCUUAUGAAAUAAAAUAUAAAGGAGGAUUUAGAAGUAAAAAGAAAAAAGAGUGUUCUUUUUAAUUUGGCAAUAGAGCACGCACACACCGCCCGUCGCCCUUUUCAAAAAUAAAAUAAAUUAAAUAAAUAUAUAUAUAAUUUUAAAAGAAAAGGUAAGUCGUAACAUGGUAAGUCUACCGGAAGGUGGCCUUGGAUAU